rnacentral:rRNA from 1 species
UAAGCAAUUAAGGGCACACGGUGGAUGCCUAGGCAUGCAGAGGCGAAGAAGGACGUGUAAAGCUGCGAUAAGCUGCGGGGAGUUGCAAAAGAACUGUGAUCCGCGGAUUUCCGAAUGGGGCAACCCACUCUAAUUUAUUAGGGUAUCCUUUCGAGGAGGCAUACCCGGGGAACUGAAACAUCUAAGUACCCUUAGGAACAGAAAUCAAUUGAGAUUCCGUCAGUAGCGGCGAGCGAACGCGGAUUAGCCCAAACCGAUGUUGUUUCGGCAAUAUCGGGGUUGUAGGACCACGUGAUCUGAUGCGUAACAGAACUGGAACCGUCUGGAAAGUCGGACCGUAGAGGGUGAGAGUCCCGUACGGGUAAAGUGCGUUAUCAGUAGUGGUAUCCUGAGUAGUGCGGGGCACGUGAAA